UGCUGAAAAGGGGAACUGCUGGAAGGCGUCUGAAGUCCGGCUAUGAAGCUGCUUCAUCCUCACAGCUGGCAAUGAAAUGGCUGCAGUCCUGGGCAGCAGU
rnacentral:lncRNA from 1 species